UCGAGCGAGAAGUUUAAGAAAGANACUUCGGUUGAUUUCUUGAAUGGACAGCGGCGAAAGGGAGAGUAACGAGUAGAUACGUACCCAGGGGUUCGGAAUAGCGGGGGGAAACCGCCGGUAAUGCCGAAUAAUGUUUCCGAACCAAAGAUUUAUCGCCCUUGGAUCGGUCUGCUUACUAUUAGCUUGUUGGUGGGGUAAAGGCCUACCAAGGCGAAGAUGGUUAGCGGGUGUGAGAGCAUGGCCCGUCUCACUGGGACUGAGACACUGCCCAGACACCUACGGGUGGCUGCAGUCGAGAAUCUUCCGCAAUGGACGAAAGUCUGACGGAGCGACGCCGCGUGCGGGAUGAAGGCCUUCGGGUUGUAAACCGCUGUCAGAGGGGAGCAAAUUUUGAGCAAUCCUCAGAGGAAGCACAGGCUAAGUUCGUGCCAGCAGCCGCGGUAAUACGAACUGUGCAAACGUUAUUCGGAAUCACUGGGCUUAAAGGGUGCGUAGGCGGCUUUAAAGGUCUGAUGUGAAAGCCCACGGCUCAACCGUGGAAUUGCGUUGGAAACCAUGAAGCUUGAGGAGAUCAGAGGUGAGCGGAACUCACGGUGGAGCGGUGAAAUGCGUUGAUAUCGUGAGGAACACCGGUGGCGAAAGCGGCUCACUGGGNUCUUUCUGACGCUGANGCACGAAAGCCAGGGGAGCGAACGGGAUUAGAUACCCCGGUAGUCCUGGCUGUAAACGAUCAGCACUAGUCCGUGGGGACUCUCACAUCCUCUCGGACGUANCGAAANUGUUAAGUGCUGCGCCUGGGGAGUAUGGUCGCANGGCUGANCUCAANGGA
rnacentral:rRNA from 1 species